rnacentral:rRNA from 1 species
GAUAUAGCUGGUUCUCCCCGAAAUAGCUUUAGGGCUAGCCUCGAAUAUAUUUACCGGAGGUAAAGCACUGAAUGGUCGAGGGGUCGAGAGACUACCAACACCUAUCAAACUAAGAAUACCGGAUAAAUGAGUUCGGGAGUCAGACAGUGUGAGAUAAGUUUCAUGGUCAAAAGGGAAACAGCCCAGACCCACAGCUAAGGUCCCCAAUGUAUGCUAAGUGGAAAACGAUGUGACAAUGCUAAGACAACUAGGAUGUUGGCUUAGAAGCAGCCACUCAUUCAAAGAGUGCGUAAUAGCUCACUAGUCGAGUGAUGUUGCGCGGAAAAUUCAACGGGGCUAAGCAUACAACCGAAGCUUGGGCAGUAGAAAUACUGGGUAGGGGAGCGUUCUGUACGGGCAGAAGCAUCAGCGGAAGCAGAUGUGGACUGUACAGAAGUGAGAAUGCCGGAAUGAGUAGCGAGAAUUGUGUGAGAAUCAUAAUGGCCGAAAAUCUAAGGUUUCCGGGGGUAGGGUCGUCCACCCCGGGUUAGCCGGGAGCUAAGGCGAGGCCGCGAGGCGUAGUCGAUGCACAAACGGUAGAGAUUCCGUUGCCGCCAGAUCUUAAGUAACUGACACGAGGGUAGAGUUCAACCCGGCCGAUGGUAGAGCCGGGCGAAAGGGACUGAAGAAUAGUAGGGAAGUGAACGAAGCCAGCGGCGAGAAAAGGUUAUGUAUGAAAUCAGGCGCCCGUACCGCAAACCGACACAGGUAGAUGAGGAGAGGAUCCUAAGGCCAGCGGGAGAAGGGUUGUUAAGGAACUCGGCAUAUUGACCCCGUAACUUCGGAAGAAGGGGUGCCUCCGUAAGGAGGCCGCAGUGAAAAGGCCCAGGCAACUGUUUAUCAAAAACACAGGUUUCUGCAAAAGCGAAAGCUGAAGUAUAGGAGCUGACGCCUGCCCGGUGCUGGAAGGUCAAGGGGAUCGCUUAGCGCAAGCGAAGGCGAGAACUUAAGCCCCAGUAAACGGCGGCCGUAACUAUAACGGUCCUAAGGUAGCGAAAUUCCUUGCCAGGUAAGUUCUGGCCUGCACGAAUGGCGUAAUGAUCUGGGCACUGUCUCAACAGCCCGCCCGGCGAAAUUGUAGUACCGGUGAAGAUGCCGGUUUCCUGCGACUAGACGGAAAGACCCCAUGGAGCUUUACUGUAGUCUGAUACUGAAAUUUGGUUCAUUAUGCACAGGAUAGGUGGGAGACAGAGAAACCCGGGCUUUGGCUUGGGCGGAGUCGCCGUUGGGAUACCACUCUUGAUGAACCAAGUUUCUAACCUGCUCCCGUGAAUCCGGGAGGGGGACAAUGUCAGAUGGGCAGUUUGACUGGGGCGGUCGCCUCCAAAAGAGUAACG